rnacentral:rRNA from 1 species
CGUAGGCGGAUAGCUCGAAAUAGAGUAAAAGACUGAGGUUGACCCUCUUUAAUCUGUAUUUACCGACUAUCUGAGUUUUAGGGGCGAUAUAUUGAAUUCCUUAAGUAAGGGUUAAAUUGUUGAUAUUGGAAGACAUUCGAAGGCGGAAGCGAUACUCGACCUAGAUCUGACGCUAGGUACUAAAGUAUGGGUAUGAAAAGGAUUAGAGACCUUGUAGUCCAUACCUUAAACAAUGAGUGUUCAACGUCCUUAAGUACUUUAGCGACAACUUGAACUAAGUAGAGACGUGGUUAAAGAUAUCCUACUUAAACUUCUUUUUGAUUUUAUUCAAGGAGAUUCGCUGAAUUGAACUCAAGGGGGUUUAAAGCUAACGCGUGAAACACCGCCUGGGGAAUGUGGCCGCAAGGUUAAACUCAAAGGAAUUGACGGAGGCUUGUACAAGG